rnacentral:rRNA from 1 species
UACGAAGGGGGCUAGCGUUGCUCGGAAUCACUGGGCGUAAAGCGCACGUAGGCGGCUUUCUAAGUCAGGGGUGAAAUCCUGGAGCUCAACUCCAGAACUGCCUUUGAUACUGGGGAGCUCGAGUCCGGAAGAGGUGAGUGGAACUCCGAGUGUAGAGGUGAAAUUCGUAGAUAUUCGGAAGAACACCAGAGGCGAAGGCGGCCUACUGGGCUGCACCUGACGCUGAGCCGCGAAAGCCAGGGGAGCGAACGGG